rnacentral:pre_miRNA from 1 species
AUUGAAAUAGGAUACUAAAGCGUAUUGUGAAAAUUGCCUUAGUUACCCUUUUUCAAUGA